AGAUCUCAUCAAACAAUCUUAAUUCUCAUCAAGUGAUCUAGAGCAGGCGCUAUUUGUUGCCUUUCGCAAACAAUGCUAAUACAUGUAGCCAAUAAUCUAAAUUUUUAUUUUCUUCCUUAAUAGUUGUUUAUUAAAAUGGAUAAGUGUGAUUACGCAUGACUUCAAUGAAUAUUUAGUGCAUUACAUGUUUAAAAAAUAAUA
rnacentral:lncRNA from 1 species